rnacentral:rRNA from 1 species
AUGGAAGGGCUCCUCCACUGGGACUUCAACCCCGGCCUCAAGGUCGAGGACCAGGUUCGUAGGCACUUCAGAUCCACGAUCCAUUUGUCCCCGGACUCUUCCUCCAAGGAAUUUUUCUUGAUGGCCACGUUCUCUUCUUCUUCUUUUCCCUCGACAUGUGCUUCGGUUGGCUUGGCCUUACAAUGUUGCAUUGGAGGAGUUGCUUCUGGUUUCAAAGUUACAUCUAUUGGAGCAAGGAAUUUUAGGUUUUCGGUGGCUUCUAAUAAAGUUGGACACUUCAUUUAUUCCCUACGGGAUAGGGUUUGGCCAGAUUUUGUUUGUCAAUUUGGUCUCUUCAAACACCCUUGGAAUGUGCCAGUUAUGGAUCAAGUUGAGGACAACGCUCCUCUUGGGAGUAGUGUCUCUGAAGCCAUUCGUUCUAAUUUGCAUUUUCUGGAAAAAAGUGCAUCUAAAGAUGGCUCAGCCUCAAAGGAAUUGGCCAAGUUUGGGUUUUGCAUGCAGCGUUCAACCAACUUAAUGAAUUCUUUCGACGAGGCUUCUUCUCAACCAGCAUGCUCACAAGCAUUACACCUCAUGACAGAUCUUUCACUGAAUAAUGCACAACUUGAGAAUUUGCAAGACAGUCUGUUCUUUAGUAGUUUGCAAAUCCCAGUCUCUCCGGAUCAUACGGCAAUCACCACCAAAAGAUUCUUAGGUAAGAAUCAUCGUGAAUAG